AGCAAGACUUUGUCUCUAAAAAUAAAAUUGCCAAGCUGAACUGAGAAAUCUGACCAGGGAUCUGAUUGUAACUCCAAAUGCACCCAGAGAAUAGCAGAGGAUUGAGUGGACAGGUGGUUACUUAAUAAGUAGAACUUGGGCCCACGAGGCAGAAAGUAAUCAAUAGCUCCAAUGAUGAGGAAGACAGGGUGCUGCUAAGACAUCAGGGACCGGAGACCUCUGAGUCGGGGAAGACUGACACAUAGGCUUAUAUCAAAAGGAAUUUUGAGGACCAAACUGUCAACACUUCUGCCCAGGUCCCAGGGGGGCAGUUCUUGGAAAGCAGUGAUGGAAAGUAGUUUGCAUCUUCAGGCCAAAUGGCUAAGCCAUCUUAUCCUUCCUGCAGCCCUCAGAGCUGCCCUGGGCAGAUGAAUAUAUCCUUUCCCACAAAGGCCCUCCCUUCUCUACUCAAACCUGAGCAGCAAGCCUCUCCUUGUAGGAAAACCCUCCCUAAGGGAAGUGGCAAGAGCACAGUAGCAAGACAUCUGUCUUGGUCCUUUUUAUUCUAUAUCAAGUAGGUAUUCAGUGAAUGUUUGUCAGAUAAAGGGCUGAAUAAACUAGGAAAAAUCUGGAAGCUCUUCAGCAUAGCACAGCACAGCCAUGGCUAAAAAAAAGUCUCCCCUAUUCCCCAUCACACACACUCACACACACACACACACACCUCUCCUCAUUCUUUCUCACAGCAGCUGGCAGGAAGAGAAUAGAUAAGUAAUGGUGUGGUUGUUUAAAGAAUAGACUUUGGAGUCAGACAGUCCUGGGAUUCAGACUUUGUUCCACUACUCACCAACUCCAGGCUCCUAAGAAAGUUACUUAACCUAAGUCUCAGUUUCCUCUUACAUAAAAUGGGUAUUAUAAUAAUACCUAUCUCAUAGGUUUUGUGGAUUAAAGUAUAAUACAUGUAAAGGGCCUAGAAUAGCUCCUGGCACACAGAAAGUAACUGUUAUACAGAUACAUCGGGAUUCAGUAAAAUGAAAACAGUAAAUAUCUUAAUUCUCCCCUCAUCUCCACUGUGUCCCUCCAAACCUUCCCUGUGGGCCUGCACUCUCUCUGCCCCUGUGUGAUUUUUGAUGCAGGUCUUUUAUCUCUGUUCUUUAAUAAAUGCUGGGUUCUGAGACCUACGACAUAAGGGCGGGCAGGCCAGUAACAAUCCAUGCUAAGAUGAAACUGACACAUGUGAGGUUGAGCAUGAGCAGGUCCAGAGGGCACAAGCAAGCUGCAGAGCAGGGACCCCAGACCCCAUGUCAUCUACAGCUGCUGCGCCAGAGCUGCUCCUCUGCUCCCAUGUGGGCUGUGUGAAGGAAUGCCUUCUAGCCAGGGAAUGGGAGGUAAAGCCCUGCUUUGACUUAUGGAUGGGUUGACUCAGUAUGACAUUACAGGCUAAAAGUGGACAGUGGCUGCACCAAAGGACAGUGGUGAGGGAAAAUCCUCCUAUUGGGGAAAGCACAGUCAUGCACUUUGUGUGAAGAGAGAAGUGUUUCAAGCUUAGCAUAUAGGUGGACUCAUGGGCAGUGGUUGAUGACUGGCUGGCUGGUCAACAGCCUGGGAAGAGCAAGAUUGAUCACAGGGUAGUGGCAGGUGAUGGACAUAUGAGAAUGGGCACAAAAUGUGAAGAUCUCUGGACAUGUUAAUGCCCACCAGAGAGCAUCCACCAUGGGAGAGGCACUAAACCAUUAAGUAAACAAAAUGACUCAGCCAGUUGACAUCAGCCAGCCUCUGUUGUUGGCUACCCUGGGAUGUUGGCACAAUGAAUGCAUAGAUGAAGAAGCCAUGAUGGCAGGGAUGGAUGGAAGUUACGCAUGGACCCAACAGCACAGAUUCCCACUCACCAAGGGUGAUCUAGCUACUGCUACUGCAGAAUGUUCAACCUACCAGUAACUUAGACCAGUCCUGAGCUCCAAUUAUGGCACCAUUCAUUGAGGAGAUCAACUGGUCCCUUGUUGGCAAGUUAAUUAUUUGGGGCCCUUUCCAUCCUAGAAGUUUCAGAAAUUCAUUUUGACAGUAAUAAAUCCAUAUUCUGGUUAUAGGUUUGCUUUUUCUACCUAAAGAGCUUUGGCUAGCACCACUAACUGAAGGUUUACAUAGUAUGUGAUCCACCAGCAUAGGAUCUCAUAUAAUAACUGCCAUGUCAGACCAAGGGACCUACUUUACAGCAAAGGAGGUGCAAGAGUAAGCCCAUGACAUGGGAUCCAUUGGUCAUAUCACAUACUACAGCACCCAGAAACUGCCAGCCUAAAAGAGAAAUUAAAUGUUGAAGACACAGCUGAAACACCAGAUCCACCUUCAGGACUGAAGGACCUAUUCCUCCAGCUGCUGGGAGUGCUGCCUGCAGACAGCCCUCAACUGUUAGUCUUGUUGGAGGAUUGCUGCGGCUAAAGAAAAAUUCCUUUGGCCAACACGUCCUGCCUCCUUCUAGGGACAGUUCACAUCCAAUGACUGAUCAACACUGGGAUAUAAAGAUCCGGCUCCCUUGCCCAAUAUCCAGAUAAUUUUGAAAGAGCAACCCAGCUCCAGAGCUCCCUACAGGAUUGGCUGAAGUCUUUGUUAGGACUGCAUCACAGUGUAGCUUCCCCCUCUGCACACAUCCUGCUUCCCUUCUCUUCCUUUUGUGUUGAUCCCAAGAACACUCUCUAAUAACCAUCGUGCAUGCUAAUCUUUGUCUCAGAAUCUCCUUCCUGGGGAACACAACCUAUAACAGUCAAUAAAUAAAAUAAGAUCA